rnacentral:rRNA from 1 species
GGACGAACGCUGGCGGCGUGCUUAACACAUGCAAGUCGAACGCUGAAGCCCAGCUUGCUGGGUGGAUGAGUGGCGAACGGGUGAGUAACACGUGAGUAACCUGCCCCCUUCUUUGGGAUAACGCCCGGAAACGGGUGCUAAUACUGGAUAUUCACUGAUCUUCGCAUGGGGGUUGGUGGAAAGGUUUUUUCUGGUGGGGGAUGGGCUCGCGGCCUAUCAGCUUGUUGGUGGGGUGAUGGCCUACCAAGGCUUUGACGGGUAGCCGGCCUGAGAGGGUGACCGGUCACAUUGGGACUGAGAUACGGCCCAGACUCCUACGGGAGGCAGCAGUGGGGAAUAUUGCACAAUGGGCGAAAGCCUGAUGCAGCGACGCCGCGUGAGGGAUGACGGCCUUCGGGUUGUAAACCUCUUUCGCUCAUGGUCAAGCCGCAGCUUUGGGUUGUGGUGAGGGUAGUGGGUAAAGAAGCGCCGGCUAACUACGU